UAUGUGAUCGUCUCUCGCAUAUCAAUAAGCGGAGGAAAAGAAACUAACAAGGAUUCCCCUAGUAACGGCGAGUGAAGCGGGAAGAGCUCAAAUUUGAAAUCUUAAAGGGUUUCCCUUUACGAAUUGUAGUUUAAAGAAGUGUUUUCUGUUGAGGUUUUGGUAAAAGUUCUUUGGAAUAGGACAUCAUAGAGGGUGAGAAUCCCGUAUUUGACCUUUACUUUCAACUUUGUGAUACACUUUCAAAGAGUCGGAUUGUUUGGGAAUGCAGUCCAAAAUGGGUGGUAAAUUCCAUCUAAAGCUAAAUAUUGGCGAGAGACCGAUAGCGAACAAGUACCGUGAGGGAAAGAUGAAAAGAACUUUGAAAAGAGAGUUAAACAGUACGUGAAAUUGUCAAAAGGGAAGCGUUUGACACCAGUGUUGUUUUUCUGAAAAUCAAUUAAAGAACUGUUUAUGCUAAGUUGUUUAGACUUUAUCAGCUAACUGUUUAGUUUUGAGCUUUUCUUUAAUGCACUUUUCAGUUAACAAGUCAACAUCAAUUUCUUUUGCUGUAAAAAAGCUUGAGGAAGGUGGCUUGAGAUUCGUCUUAAGUGUUUAUAGCCUCUUGCCUAUGCAGUCGGAGAGAUUGAGGUCUGCAGCGUAGAUCCUUCGGGGCUAAAUGCAUUUGUGCUAAGUUAUAGCAUUUUAUAGACAACUUGUUGACUAUGAUUUGUCUUGUAGCUUACUCGCUUAUGUUAUUUUACCUACGCUUAGGAUGUUGAGUCGUAGAGCACGCAG
rnacentral:rRNA from 1 species